CAACGUUGUUUUUCACGCCGGUUUUUUUCCGGUCAUAACGUAUUUACGAUGUAUUUUAUACAUACAUAACGUAUUAACUUUAAUACCUAUUUUUUUUUGUUCGGUCAAUCGCUCGUUAUUUUUUUGAAGGUUUAUCUCAUAUGUAAACUAUACUGCAUUAUUCUUCGAUUUGUCGCGUUUUUUUAAAAGGAUGGUUUAACGGUUAUCGUUUCUAUUACGAAGGAAUGAUAAUAUAGAAUAGAAAAUAUGUAAUGGAUGCUUGUUUAUGUUUUUUUUUUUUACUUUGUUAUCAAAAUUUAUUGUUUCUUUUUUUUUGUAUUUGUGUUUUCUUGGAGAAAAAGGAAACUUGGGAGGCUGAUUUGUUCAUUGAUCCAAGCUGAAAAAUGUUAAAAUUAUAUUCUCUCUCUCAUCUAGCCUCUUCUUUCAUGCACGCUUGAAAUGACCGUGAGGCUGUGUUUUCGAUUUAGCAAGCACUUUUUUGUAAUUCGUAUACUCUUUUUCCGUAUGAUGUUCCAUCGAGAUGACAAAAUAUCUGUUUAAUCGUGUAUAUAGCGAAGAAAGAGGAGGAAGAGAAAAAGAAGAAGCAUUUAAUUUCUUAUAAUUCGAGGAAAGAAAUAAUUAUAUUUCGAAUAUUAUUAAUUAGACGAAUGAAAUAUUCUCGGACGUCAAGUGCACUAUUAAUAUAUUACAUGUAAAGUUUUUGGUACGACGGAACUUGUGCGAAUUCGUCAAAUUUCGUCAUCGACAAUCGUCGACUUUCUCGGGAUAAGUCGAGAAUAUAUUUGCAUGUCUAAUUGGAUUUUAAUCAAGCCGAUCGCGAUCGCUGAAAUUUAUAAGGAGCGAAGUAAUCGUUUCUGUCGAAUAAGAUUUUAACGAGAAAUAUUUCUUCAAGAGAAAUUUUAUGUACAUACGUACAUGUGUAUACUGAAAAUUCGUGAUAAAGUGUUUAUCUUUACUUCAGACGAAAGAUUAUGAUAUAUCCAUGUAUUAGGAUCCUAACUCUACGCUAGAAUCUUCAAAUGUUAAUCUGCCAGUGAAUAAAACUGUCCAUCGUUCCUAUCAGAAAUAAUUAAACGUAAUGAAGAAAGGCUGGAUUGUGAUCGAAGAGGACCAUCAAGUUUGCCUCAUAACGUAGUCUCUCAAGAGAUAUGAUUUACUUACUAGACAAUUUGGCGACUGGUUUCUUUUUCACCUGUCUUAUAAAUCAAAAACAUAUAUUAUUCGAAAUCGUUAUUCCAAUGAUAAAUAUUAAAAGAAGAGAAAAGAAAAGAGAAAGGAAGAAAGAGAGAAAGAAAGAAAGAAAGAAAGAAAAAGAAAAUGAAUAACGAAGGUUACGGAUUAGAGAAUAUUUUUAUACGGGAAUAUUUCUCACGGGAGAAGAAAACAUCUUAUAGACAAAGCUCCAUGUAAUUUGAAUCGGCCAACCUUUUUCAAUGUUGAAAUUUAUUCGCGUUGGUUCAGUGUUCAACGAAACAUACACGUAAGUACAUAGGUCGCAUCUUCAGAAGCAACGAAAGAACAUCUUUUAUGCGUGGCCACGAAAAAGAGGGGAUUCAGUUAAACCCAUUCGUGAGAUCGUCCCGACGACGCUAAAAGCAACCGAGCUCUUUGUUUUCUCCUUCGGGAUUCAUCGAGAAAAGCUCGAAGCUUGGUUUCUUCGUCUCGGUCGUAAUCAAGGUUCAUCAUCGUUAUUUCAACUACGAAUUUCGUACGCUCGAGUCAAAUUCAUCUAUUUUAUUUUUAUUUUUAGCUUACAAGAAAGAGGGGGGAUGGUGCUGGAAGGAAUCGCAGAAAAGAUGAUUCCGAAUUGACUUGCUUACCAACUUUUCCUCCUCCCAGCCCUCUCUAUAUUCCAUUUAUUUCGAGAUAAAUUGUAUUACAUAUGAAUCGAAUCGUACGAAACUUCAGUUGAAAACUCUUUCGAUUCUGCGAAUUGCUUGUCCGUGAUAUUGUUCAUAAUGUUAUUUGUAUUUGCUUGCUGUACUUAGAUUUGUUACCAUUGGUUAAGCGUGUAUCAAGCGGCCUAUUACGAAUUCAAAUUUCAAAUUGCAUUUCGUAAAUGCGUUCGCAGAAUAGAGCGAAAUAAUGAUUGAGAAUGUAAGGCUUUACAGAAAUGCUCAUAGAACUGCUAUCUGUUCUGUCGAGUUAAGUCUCAACGAUUUUAUGCAAACAACGCUAUGUAUAUUAUUAAAUGACGAUUGAAACAGA